GAUGAAGAACGUAGCGAAAUGCGAUAAGUAAUGUGAAUUGCAGAAUUCAGUGAAUCAUCGAAUCUUUGAACGCACAUUGCGCCCGCUAGUAUUCUGGCGGGCAUGCCUGUCCGAGCGUCAUUUCAACCAUCAAGCCCCAGGCUUGUGUUGGGGACCUGCGGCUGCCGCAGGCCCUGAAAACCAGUGGCGGGCUCGCUGUCACACCGGGCGUAGUAGAUUUUAUCUCGCUCAGGGCGUGCUGCGGGUUCCGGCCGUUAAAAAGCCUUUUUUACCCAAGGUUGACCUCGGAUCAGGUAGGAAGACCCGCUGAACUUAAGCAUAUCAAUAAGCGGAGGA
rnacentral:misc_RNA from 1 species